rnacentral:rRNA from 1 species
AAUAUUGCACAAUGGGCUCAAGCCUGAUGCAGCAACGCCGCGUGCGCGACGAAGGCCUUCGGGUCGUAAAGCGCUUUUCGGGGAGUUGAGCACGUACAGUAUCUCCGGAAGAAGGAUCGGCUAACUACGUUCCAUCAGCCGCGGUAAAACGUAGGAUCCGAGCGUUAUCCGAAUUCACUGGGCGUAAAGCGCAUGCAGGCGGCCGCACAAGUUGGAUGUGAAAUCUCCCGGCUCAACUGGGAGGGGACGUUCAAAACUGUGCGGCUCGAGGGCGGUAGAAGAAGGUAGAAUUCCCGGUGUAGUGGUGAAAUGCGUAGAUAUCGGGAGGAAUACCCGUGGCGAAGGCGACCUUCUGGACCGUUUCUGACGCUCAGAUGCGAAAGCUAGGGGAGCGAACGGG